rnacentral:rRNA from 1 species
GUGCCAGCAGCCGCGGUAAUUCCAGCUCCAAUAGCGUAUAUUAAAGUUGUUGUGGUUAAAAAGCUCGUAGUUGAACCUUGGGCCUGGCUGGCCGGUCCGCCUCACCGCGUGCACUGGUCCGGCCGGGCCUUUCCCUCUGUGGAACCCCAUACCCUUCACUGGGCGUGGCGGGGAAACAGGACAUUUACUUUGAAAAAAUUAGAGUGCUCCAGGCAGGCCUAUGCUCGAAUACAUUAGCAUGGAAUAAUAAAAUAGGACGCGCGGUUCUAUUUUGUUGGUUUAUAGGACCGCCGUAAUGAUUAAUAGGGACAGUCGGGGGCAUCAGUAUUCAACUGUCAGAGGUGAAAUUCUUGGAUCAGUUGAAGACUAACUACUGCUAAAGCAUUUGCCAAGGAUGUUUUCAUUAAUCAGGAACGAAAGUUAGGGGAUCGAAGACGAUCAGAUACCGUCGUAGUCUUAACCAUAAACUAUGCCGACUAGGGAUCGGACGGUGUUAUUCAUGACCCGUUCGGCACCUUACGAGAAAUCAAAGUGCUUGGGCUCCAGGGGGAGUAUGGUCGCAAGGCUGAAACUUAAAGAAAUUGACGGAAGGGCACCACCAGGGGUGGAGCCUGCGGCUUAAUUUGACUCAACACGGGGAAACUCACCAGGUCCAGACACAAUAAGGAUUGACAGAUUGAGAGCUCUUUCUUGAUUUUGUGGGUGGUGGUGCAUGGCCGUUCUUAGUUGGUGGGGUGACUUGUCUGCUUAAUUGCGAUACGAACGAGACCUUAACCUGCUAAAUAGCCCGCAUUGCUCCGGCAGUGCGCUGGCUUCUUAGAGGGACUUUCGG